UGUAGACACAUCCUAAAAAGCUUUUCUUUCUAUGCUAACACCCCAGAUGAGGACUGCAAUCUCUGGAUUUAGAGAGGGACACAAACUUUUGGACCAUAACAGCCUCAUCUGUGCCCAACUAGAAAGCUUAAGGAAACAUUUCUUCCUCCUCACCAGUCCUCCAGGGCUGGUUUGCUGUCUGCCCCCACAGCCAGAGCAGGAGGAUGAGAGACAUGUCAACUGCCGAGAGAGGCAUUCUGGGGGAGUCAGCAGGCACAUGGAAGAGGACAGGAAGAGUCUUGUCGAAACUUUUCAGGCAUGCGGUACAUCUGUGACAAAUGAUUUAUAUUCAUAAGCUUCGGGGCUAUCAGACGUGCACAGUUGGGGAAGCAUAAACUGGAAGAGAUGUCCCAGGAACGGUGUUCAAAGGCAGCGUCAUUAAAACCAAAACUCACGUGGGCUUCCAUGGUGGCACUUGCUGUCACCUCAAACACUCGGAGGCUGAGGACAUGAAUGCAAACAGCAGCUAGGACAGAUGAGAUGGAUUUUCCUCACGUCUUUCUCAGCAGAGCAUUUCCAGAAACUUCUUUCUUAGCACUAAAUACCUUGUGGUGCUGUAGAAUCCGAGUCUGCUUUCCUUCAAACUUAAUCUAUAUACUGGGGCAUCUAUCUUGUCACUUUCUACAUGGAAGGAUUUUCCCCUCUCUUCACUUGAUGCAUGCAGCCUUUCUGUCCUUUUCCCUCACUGUUU